UACAGAGGGGGCAAGCGUUGUUCGGAAUUACUGGGCGUAAAGGGCUCGUAGGCGGCCAACUAAGUCAUACGUGAAAUCCCUCGGCUUAACCGGGGAACUGCGUCUGAUACUGGAUGGCUUGAGUUCGGGAGAGGGAUGCGGAAUUCCAGGUGUAGCGGUGAAAUGCGUAGAUAUUGGGAGGAACACCAGUGGCGAAGGCGGCUCGCUGGACCGGUUCUGACGCUGAGGCGCGAAAGCGUGGGGAGCAAACGGG
rnacentral:rRNA from 1 species